rnacentral:rRNA from 1 species
CCUACGGGAGGCAGCAGUGAGGAAUAUUGGUCAAUGGACGAGAGUCUGAACCAGCCAAGUAGCGUGAAGGAUGACUGCCCUAUGGGUUGUAAACUUCUUUUAUAUGGGAAUAAAACAGGGUAUGCAUACCCUCUUGUAUGUACCAUAUGAAUAAGGAUCGGCUAACUCCGUGCCAGCAGCCGCGGUAAUACGGAGGAUCCGAGCGUUAUCCGGAUUUAUUGGGUUUAAAGGGAGCGUAGGUGGAUUGUUAAGUCAGUUGUGAAAGUUUGCGGCUCAACCGUAAAAUUGCAGUUGAAACUGGCAGGCUGGAGUACAGUAGAGGUGGGCGGAAUUCGUGGUGUAGCGGUGAAAUGCUUAGAUAUCACGAAGAACUCCGAUUGCGAAGGCAGCUCACUGGACUGCAACUGACACUGAUGCUCGAAAGUGUGGGUAGCAAACAGGAUUAGAUACCCUUGUAGUC